GGACAUAUAUAGAGAUUUGGUUCUAGCGUGCUUAGAUCCAGAAGGUGGAGCGCGUUUGAGUUGUCCUACUAAGCGGUACGGAGGAGGCUCCUCAAGUUGAGUGGUCCGAAGAAGGCAGUGCCCGAACCUCAGGAGAAGUGCCGCUGUUCUCUUCCUCGAACACAGGGUACCGUACCGUACAUAGGGUGCCGGUACCGGUUCCGGAGACUCCAAGCGCACUGGAAAAUCCGGAGCGGGUACCGAUACCACAAGUACCAGAAUAAACAGAUAGUCUAGAUCAUAGAUAGAUUUAGUGGCUUCAGACCUAGGAAGUACAUACAACGCAACUGCCGGUACGGGUCCAGGAAGAUUUUGCUUAAACGCUGUGGUGAGCCGUAGUCCGCCUUGUCUAGAGCAUUUGGAACAUGGCAUUAAAAAAAAGAAGGGUGAGAAUUAAAAAAGAGUCGUGCCUGCGUACCUGCUUAAGGUUGAGGCCGAAGAAAAAACCCGGACAUUAAAAAAAUGACCUAGACGAUAAAAUACCCUAAAUAAACCACGCAAAAAAUUAAAUAUAAUAUUUAAACUUCCAAGCUGCCAAAAAUACCAUAAACGUUCUCGACGAGAAUUUCCUGCCUAGAGAAGAACCUGUGCUUGGCGUGAGAUUGGGCUCCGAUCCGCUCCGCUAAGAAGCAUGUUCGGAAAGAAAACAAAUAUAAAAACGGUAUCGGGUAUACAAAAAAGAAAAGCCUUAUCUAUUUAGGGCUUGCAAGCUAAAAAUUCGUACGAUAUUAGGCUUGAUUUCAACGGUGAAGCGUCGUUGAUUUCAACAGUAGUUUUUUGCAAGCCUACUGUACGAAUUUAAUGCUUGCAAGUUCUGAAUAACUCCAGAAAAAAAAAUCACCUCUGGGUAUACCAAAAAAAAGAGAGUUUCUUUUUACCAGAAGAAAAUGGAAGGUUUUAAAAGAUAACUGCCGAUUUAUAAAGGGUAAAAGAGUCUGCCCUACUCGUAAAAAAAAGAAGUGCUAGAUGGUACGUAAAGAUACUUGACAAAAAAAAUAAACUUGUUAAAGCUUUUACGACGGCUGCUUGUGGUCGAAUGUAAAUGGCCCGGCAGACCUAGCUAACCUCCUGACCCGGCGGCUUACUACCACUUAGCUACCCAACCAACCAGCCUGACAGGGUCACUAGGACCUGGCCCGGGAAACUCAAAACCCUCCGGGGCUAGCUAGGUGCUGCGUCGUAUAUUUUUCGCGGCCGCGGACCUUGGGAUUGGGGAAAGGGGAAAGGGGGAAGGGGGGAACAAGGAGGAGCUAGGCAGUCCGCCGCCGCCGCGCGCGCUCUGGCCGCCGCUCGAUGGCGCUGAGAUGCGUCUCUUUCGACACCCUACCGGUGGUACCGAGAAGCACGACGACGCUGGCCAAAGGAGGCCGGCCGGCGACAAGGCUACACGCUCCCGAUGUGUACGGAACAGGGAUACGAAAGUCGGCCUAGACGACUACUGUAGAUGUUGUGGAAGGCAAAGCCCCGCACGUCGCGUUGGGUUCUCGACCUUCUGGGGGGGACGGGAAAGUUGAAGCCCCUCUGCGAGGCACUUCGACCGUGCUUCGACUCGCUUAGACGUAAAUAAGGACAACUGGUAGACGGAUUCGACGCGGGUCUCCUAUAAAUAGUAUAGGACCCGCCACCACGACAGCAGCGCCCGAACCACUACUACAGGCUCCCUCUCUUUUUACUACUAUUUCUACCCGUUUGUAGACUCUAGUAUGUGCUAGAUUUCCUCUUCGACUCACUUCAAUGGCUCUCUCGCCUCUUGGAGCGACGACUCUUAUUCUCCGAGGAACUUCUACACCUGUUCCAGUCCCUUCGAUUGUUCGUUGUACCUAUACUCCAGACCUACCUAUGGUAAGCUAGGUAAGUACUUUUCCUUGAACGAUCCGAACUCCGACCGUCACUGUUCCUCCCACUACCCUCACCGUUACUGUUGUUCCCGUUAUUCUCACCGUUCUUCCUGUUACUCACACUGUUCUUCCCGUUACUCUCACUGUUCUUCCCACCAUUCUCACUAUUCUUCCUACUUUUCGGCGAGCGUUUCUUCGACAAUCUUGACAACUACCGUGGUAGGUGGCACCUUUGAACCAUGUUCCUAUAGUGGAGGUUGACCCGGUUCACCUCAAUGAAUAAACCGUACCAGGGUCAAAAGAUACGAGAGUUUUACCGUCUAAUACGUUUCUAAAACUUCCCGCUAGAAUCGCCAUAUCUAGGAGCCCAACUCCACCACCUCUCGUCCCGAACGGGUACACCGUAAGGGACCGGCGUCUCUACGAGAUCUACACCGCCUCCUGAGGGUUUGAAGCAACCGCUAAGCCCUGAGCAGUCAAAGGGACCAUAAGGUCCGCAGUUCCCGCUUUGGAAGUGUCGGUGGUGAGGGUGAGGUCAGGGUUCCCGCUGUAGAGGAGCCGGUGGCGUCGGCACUUCACUUAUACAACGAUCGCACUCACUGUCACGGAGACGCAUCCGGACUUGACAAAAGACAAGUUACUUAUAACACGUUGACCAAAUCGACGCAAAACUCGAAGAGACUAGACCCUACAUCUUGGUCAAACAUGAAUUCGACAGAAGACGUACUAUGAUAACUUCAAUAAACCCCCUCCCACGUUGAGGAAAC
rnacentral:rRNA from 1 species